GAUGAACGCUAGCUACAGGCUUAACACAUGCAAGUCGAGGGGCAGCAUGUCGGUUGCUUGCAACCGACGAUGGCGACCGGCGCACGGGUGAGUAACGCGUAUCCAACCUACCCUUGUCCAUCGGAUAACCCGUCGAAAGGCGGCCUAACACGAUAUGCGGUUCACAGCAGGCAUCUAACGUGAACGAGAUGUGAAGGAGAAGGAUGGGGAUGCGUCUGAUUAGCUUAUUGGCGGGGUAACGGCCCACCAAGGCUACGAUGGGUAGGGGUUCUGAGAGGAAGGUCCCCCACAUUGGAACUGAGACACGGUCCAAACUCCUACGGGAGGCAGCAGUGAGGAAUAUUGGUCAAUGGCCGGAAGGCUGAACCAGCCAAGUCGCGUGAGGGAAGACUGCCCUAUGGGUUGUAAACCUCUUUUAUUCGGGAAGAAUAAGUUUCACGCGUGGAACGAUGCCUGUACCGAAUGAAUAAGCAUCGGCUAACUCCGUGCCAGCGGCCGCGGUAAUACGGAGGAUGCGAGCGUUAUCCGGAUUUAUUGGGUUUAAAGGGUGCGUAGGCGGUUGAUUAAGUUAGUGGUAAAAUGUCAUGGCUAAACCUUGGCCAGCCAUUAAUACUGGUCAGCUUGAGUACAGACGAGGUAGGCGGAAUAAGUUAAGUAGCGGUGAAAUGCUUAGAUAUAACUUAGAACUCCGAUAGCGAAGGCAGCUUACCAGACUGUGACUGACGCUGAAGCACGAGAGCGUGGGUAGCGAACAGG
rnacentral:rRNA from 1 species